ACAUGCAGUCGAGCGAACAGAUGAAGUGCUUGCACUUCUGACGUUAGCGGCGAACGGGUGAGUAACACGUAAGGAAUCUACCUAUAAGCGGGGGAUAACAUUCGGAAACGGGUGCUAAUACCGCAUAAUAUCUUCUUCCGCAUGGAAGAAGAUUGAAAGACGGCUCUGCUGUCACUUAUAGAUGACCUUGCGGUGCAUUAGUUAGUUGGUGGGGUAAUGGCCUACCAAGACGAUGAUGCAUAGCCGACCUGAGAGGGUGAUCGGCCACAUUGGGACUGAGACACGGCCCAAACUCCUACGGGAGGCAGCAGUAGGGAAUCUUCCGCAAUGGGCGAAAGCCUGACGGAGCAAUGCCGCGUGAGUGAAGAAGGCCUUCGGGUCGUAAAACUCUGUUAUAAGAGAAGAACAAAUUGUAGAGUAACUGCUACAGUCUUGACGGUAUCUUAUCAGAAAGCCACGGCUAACUACGUGCCAGCAGCCGCGGUAAUACGUAGGUGGCAAGCGUUGUCCGGAUUUAUUGGGCGUAAAGGGAGCGCAGGUGGUUUCUUAAGUCUGAUGUGAAAGCCCACGGCUUAACCGUGGAGGGUCAUUGGAAACUGGGAAACUUGAGUACAGAAGAGGAAUGUGGAACUCCAUGUGUAGCGGUGGAAUGCGUAGAUAUAUGGAAGAACACCA
rnacentral:rRNA from 1 species